rnacentral:rRNA from 1 species
UCUGGAAACUNUCUGACUUGAGUGCAGAAGGGGAGAGUGGANUUCCAUGUGUAGCGGUGAAAUGCGUAGAUAUAUGGAGGAACACCAGUGGCGAAAGCGGCUCUCUGNUCUGUCACUGACGCUGAGGCUCGAAAGCGUGGGUAGCGAACAGGAUUAGAUACCCUGGUAGUCCACGCCGUAAACGAUGAGUGCUAGGUGUUAGGCCCUUUCCGGGGCUUAGUGCCGGAGCUAACGCAAUAAGCACUCCGCCUGGGGAGUACGACCGCAAGGUUGAAACUCAAAGGAAUUGACGGGGGCCCGCACAAGCGGUGGAGCAUGUGGUUUAAUUCGAAGCAACGCGAAGAACCUUACCAGGUCUUGACAUCCCGAUGCUAUUCUUAGAGAUAGGAAGUUACUUCGGUACAUCGGAGACAGGUGGUGCAUGGUUGUCGUCAGCUCGUGUCGUGAGAUGUUGGGUUAANNCCCGCAACGAGCGCAACCCUUAUUGUUAGUUGCCAUCAUUAAGUUGGGCACUCUAGCGAGACUGCCGGUAAUAAACCGGAGGAAGGUGGGGAUGACGUCAAAUCAUCAUGCCCCUUAUGACCUGGGCUACACACGUGCUACAAUGGUCGGUACAACGAGUUGCGAGCCGGUGACGGCAAGCUAAUCUCUGAAAGCCGAUCUCAGUUCGGAUUGGAGGCUGCAACUCGCCUCCAUGAAGUCGGAAUCGCUAGUAAUCGCGGAUCAGCACGCCGCGGUGAAUACGUUCCCGGGCCUUGUNC